AUUGAACGCUGGCGGCAGGCCUAACACAUGCAAGUCGAGCGGAUGAAGGGAGCUUGCUCCUGGAUUCAGCGGCGGACGGGUGAGUAAUGCCUAGGAAUCUGCUUGGCAGUGGGGGAUAACGUCCGCAAACGGGCGCUAAUACCGCAUACGUCCUGAGGGAGAAAGUGGGGGAUCUUCGGACCUCACGCUCUCAGAUGAGCCUAGGUCGGAUUAGCUAGUUGGUGGGGUAAAGGCCUACCAAGGCGACGAUCCGUAACUGGUCUGAGAGGAUGAUCAGUCACACUGGAACUGAGACACGGUCCAGACUCCUACGGGAGGCAGCAGUGGGGAAUAUUGGACAAUGGGCGAAAGCCUGAUCCAGCCAUGCCGCGUGUGUGAAGAAGGUCUUCGGAUUGUAAAGCACUUUAAGUUGGGAGGAAGGGCAGUAAGUUAAUACCUUGCUGUUUUGACGUUACCAACAGAAUAAGCACCGGCUAACUUCGUG
rnacentral:rRNA from 1 species